UACGGAGGGAGCUAGCGUUGUUCGGAAUUACUGGGCGUAAAGCGCACGUAGGCGGCUAUUCAAGUCAGAGGUGAAAAGCCCGGGGCUCAACCCCGGAACUGCCUUUGAAACUAGAUAGCUUGAAUCCAGGAGAGGUGAGUGGAAUUCCGAGUGUAGAGGUGAAAUUCGUAGAUAUUCGGAAGAACACCAGUGGCGAAGGCGGCUCACUGGACUGGUAUUGACGCUGAGGUGCGAAAGCGUGGGGAGCAAACAGG
rnacentral:rRNA from 1 species